GGUUUGCAGUGCGAGCGUCGACUGGUGCUCUGUCGUGGGUGCGGUGCACUGCUGAACGGAGUGACGGCAGGGGAGAAAGGUGCCAGGUCCAGCCCCGCACGGUUGUCCUGGUGUGCGUGCUACACUUUGAGUUUGAAAGGCCACUACCGUUGUCUAUAUAUAUACAUAUAGAGAGAGAGAGAGUUGUCUAUACAGCGUUGUCUAUAUUUGGCGUUGUUUAAAUUAUACCAUUUACUGUUUUAUUUCACCGUGUAUUUCAAUAGACAACCGUCUAAUACUCUGACUGUUUACCGUGUAUACAGCUGAGAGAAGAUAUACAGGGAAAGAACAUAUGUAUAAGAGCAAAAAUUCAGUUUUGUCCUUUUUGCUAUAAGUGGAAAAGUGAAGUUUGUUUUUGUUGUUUCUUUUUAUUUAUGUUUGGAAUUGUCCCACCGUGAAACCUUGAUUUCAUUCCCUGAAUUCCAAAUAAAUUAAUGCUGUGCCUCAUUGUGGGUGCAGUCGUGAGAAAAGAUCCCAAAUUAUUUUGUGUGCUCUGUGCCUUUACUCAUAACCGGGCCACACACAUUUUGGUACCAGGAGUGGGGUCUCUCUAAUUGGCUUUGGGGAAUUUUUGGUAAGACAGGGACAGAGAUAGUUAGGUUUAUAGACAACGGUAGUGGUGAAGAGUGGUCCAGUCUUGGUGUGAGACGGGGUGACGACUGCCUGCCUGGUGUUCCUGGAGUGGCUGGUGUACCAGGACCGGAGGGGUGUCUGCAUCGUCGCCGUGGACUGCUGGAGGAGGAGACUGCUGGCCAGAAAGAGAUUGUAGCUGGCUGUGACUGUGUUAUCUUGCUGUAAUAAAGACACUGAAAAAAAAAAGAGGGGGACAUUUCAGGAUGUCGUCAGACGAAGAAGGUGCGGCUGCUCCCAGGGCAGGAGUUAGCCAUGAUG